CACUGUCUUUGAGUUUCGCUCGCUUUUCGUCUAGCGCGCGUUAGACAAAUGGCCGUACAGUACUGUGUACACAAUGGGUGAGGUCGGGCCUUCGAGACUACCGCCUACGCAUGCCUACAUUUUAGUCUAGCGCGCGUGUGACAGGACAGGUGGAACAGAAAGCAACUACCUGGGCAUCCAAGCCUAUGUCUGUUCUCGUCGUUACUGUAGUGUUGCAGUGCGUAUAAUGACGCAGAGUACCCAAAGAAGUUGUUCUCUGUUCGGCCCCAACAAUCAGUGAGAAGCGGUGAUCUUGCAGCUGAUGGUCUAUCAGAAAUGUAGGCAAUCUGCAUUACAUUCCUGUGUCUCGUCGCAUGUGCAUGGCAGCCGUGUUGCUUUGAAGACAUAGUAUCAAUCUUGCUUGCUUUAGUAAGUCUGACUCUCGCCACGGCUCUGAGACAGUUCGUAGCCUCACUUCCAGAUUCUGUGUGCCGAUAUUCUGACAGUGUCUGAAUCAGUAGCACACCUAGCUAAGAGUUUGGUAUCACGAUGGAAGACCAUUCAACUUCAAAUUUGGAAACAGACAAUUCUAUCAGUGCUGAUCAAUGUCAUGGCCAUGAUGCGUCUGAUGAUUCCGGACGAAAUCAAGCAAAGCGUCCAAAAGUAAGACAGUUUCAUGAAGAAUGGAGAGAAACAUGGCUAAUGGACUAUGAUGAAAACUGCAGUGAAAUGAUUUGCAUGUUGUGUUCAUCAAGACAUCGCAGCAUAAAGCUAGAUACUAAAAUAGUAUUAUACCGUAAUACGUCGAAAGUCUGCUACAUUCUUAGAAUUUCUAGAUUAGGUUGUGGGCGUGGUCUGUGGCACCCUGUGUUCUGUUGUCGCCACUCAGUGGCACCAGAACUCAGUGAACUUGGCCACCCCUGUGUACUAUAGCUAGACACGUUCAGUAGUCUAAUUUGUUGCUGUGAUAUAGACAUGCGUUGUGUAUUACAUCAGAAAAUUCUUUUCAAGACAGAUCAGCAACAUUUAAUUA